rnacentral:rRNA from 1 species
GGGGAAUAUUGGACAAUGGGGGCAACCCUGAUCCAGCCAUGCCGCGUGAGUGAUGAAGGCCUUAGGGUUGUAAAACUCUUUUGUCCGGGAAGAUAAUGACUGUACCGGAAGAAUAAGCCCCGGCUAACUUCGUGCCAGCAGCCGCGGUAAUACGAAGGGGGCUAGCGUUGUUCGGAAUCACUGGGCGUAAAGCGCACGUAGGCGGAUCGUUAAGUCAGAGGUGAAAUCCCGGAGCUCAACUUCGGAACUGCCUUUGAUACUGGCGAUCUUGAGUUUGGAAGAGGUUGGUGGAACUGCGAGUGUAGAGGUGAAAUUCGUAGAUAUUCGCAAGAACACCAGUGGCGAAGGCGGCCAACUGGUCCAAUACUGACGCUGAGGUGCGAAAGCGUGGGGAGCAAAC